GACGAACGCUGGCGGCGUGCUUAACACAUGCAAGUCGAACGAAGUGGCGAACGGGUGAGUAACGCGUAAUCAACCUGCCCUUCAGAGGGGGACAACAGUUGGAAACGACUGCUAAUACCGCAUACUGAAGGGGGGGAUUGUGUUUGAUUAGCUCGUUGGAGGGGUAACGGCCCACCAAGGCGAUGAGCAGUAGCCGGUCUGGAAGGAUGAACGGCCCAAAUGGGACUGGGAAAAGGCCCAGACUCCUAAGGGAGGCAGCAGUGGGGAAAUUUCCGAAAUGGACGAAAAUCUGACGGAGCAACGCCGCGUGAGUGAUGAUGGGCUUCGGGUUGUAAAGCUCUGUUAAGCGGGACGCGGUACCGGAAUAGAAAGCAACGGCUAACUACGUGUCAGCAGCCGCGGUAAUAC
rnacentral:rRNA from 1 species